rnacentral:rRNA from 1 species
AGUGAACGCUGGCGGUAGGCCUAACACAUGCAAGUCGAACGGCAGCACAGUAAUAGCUUGCUCUUACGGGUGGCGAGUGGCGGACGGGUGAGGAAUACAUCGGAAUCUACUUUUUCGUGGGGGAUAACGUAGGGAAACUUACGCUAAUACCGCAUACGACCUACGGGUGAAAGCAGGGGAUCUUCGGACCUUGCGCGAUUGAAUGACCCGAUGUCGGAUUAGCUAGUUGGCGGGGUAAAGGCCCACCAAGGCGACGAUCCGUAGCUGGUCUGAGAGGAUGAUCAGCCACACUGGAACUGAGACACGGUCCAGACUCCUACGGGAGGCAGCAGUGGGGAAUAUUGGACAAUGGGCGCAAGCCUGAUCCAGCCAUACCGCGUGGGUGAAGAAGGCCUUCGGGUUGUAAAGCCCUUUUGUUGGGAAAGAAAAGCAGCAGGUUAAUACCCCGCUGUUCUGACGGUACCCAAAGAAUAAGCACCGGCUAACUUCGUG